rnacentral:tRNA from 5 species
CGGGAUAUAGCGCAGUCUGGUAGCGCGCCUGCUUUGGGAGCAGGAUGUCGGGAGUUCGAAUCUCUCUAUCCCGACCA